CCCUGGGGGAUUUACGGGUCGCGCAAGGACUUAAAACUUCAAAAGGAAAUUUGACCGGGGUCCCCCCGCACCAAAGCCAGCGGAGGCGCUGUGUGGUUUUAUUUCGAUGUUUACGGCGGAAGAAACCAUUACCCUGGGGUUUUGACACAUUUGAAGUUGGUAGGAAUCCCGAAAAGGGUGGACGGGCCCUCGGGGGAGGCUUAAUACAGGUGAUGCCAUGGCUGUCGUCCAGCCUCGUGGCGUGAGGUGUCCGGUUAAGUCCCGUAACGAGCGCAACCCUUGCUGUAUGUUACAAGUGUCAUACGGGGACUGCCGGUAUAAAGCCGGAGGAAGGUGGGGACGACGUCAAGUCAGCAUGUCCUUUAUAUCCAGGGCUACACACACGCUACAAUGGUCGGUACAAUAGGUCCGCAAAGCCGCGAGGCGGAGCCAAUCCAUAAAGCCGGCCUCAGUUCGGAUUGUAGGCUGCAACUCGCCUACAUGAAGCUGGAGUUGCUAGUAAACGCGCGUCAGCAUAGUGCGUUGAAUACGUUCCCGGGGAUUGUACACACCGCCCGUCAUCGUCAUGGAAGUUGGAAACGCCCGAAGUCAGUAUCCUAA
rnacentral:rRNA from 1 species